AUGUAAAAUUCUCACACCUAUAUUACAGACGGAAUGAACGUCGAUUUUAUUAAAUUAUUAUCGACGGCAAUGAAAGCUGUCGAUUUUAUUAACAUUUUGAAAAAUCGACAAGCUUUAUAGCGACCAACUGCGCCGUCUAUUUUGCCGUCGAAUUUAAAUAUUAUCGAUGGCUAGGCCGUCGAUUUGGCCGUCAAUUUUAACGACGUUUCUUGUAGUGUCAAUACCAACAUUGUAUUGAUCAAG